rnacentral:lncRNA from 1 species
UGGAAUUGUGCUUUCGGGUUGAGUAAACAAUAGCAGAAUUUACAUAGGCAGAAAUAAGUUUUAAAAGUAUCUCCCGGCAUCAGCCAUUAUUAUUGUGUGGUCAGUAACUCAGCUCUCAGCGGCUCUGGCCAACUGUCCUGCCCAUUAAUGUAUGAUUUACAGCGAUUAACUUUUGCUGAUUAGAGUGAUUAUUUGGAGUGUGGCGCGGCUCUGCCUUCCUCCAGUGUGUCGGACCAUCCUGCCAGCGGCUUUAAACUUCCACCGGGGAUCCAGCCGAACCUCUGCCAGAGCGGCUAAUCUGUAAUCAUUCAUGGCUGACUUAUACAAACCGCUCUGUUUUCUGGCACUCGCCGGCCGGUUCUUCUUCAUCUCCCCGCAGUAAACAAACGGCGCGUGGAAAGGUUAGUCACUGGCGCGAGCAGACGGAUCUCCGAAGGAAACGGGGUGUUAAGCAUGUCGGAGCCGUUCAAGUCCAAAAAGGUAGGCACAUGAAGAAGAUGCCAACAGGAUACAGAAAGGUUGACAAACAUAGAUGCCAGCAGGCUAUAUAAUGCACCAGCUGCAGAUGCCGGAAAAAAAGCAACCGAUGCAAAGUGGAGUCUGUCAAGCCAAUGAGGACGGAAGAUGAAGACAGGCCUGCCGAAAAUAAGGGUAGGCAUUUUAGCGGGUGGUUUUAAAAGCCGACGUGUUUCCCUUCAAGGUAAAACUAGCCUCGGCA